UCCACAUCAGGUAUAUGAUAUGUGAGCAUUUUUUGUUAAUGAUAAUCUUCCUUUCUUGACUUACCGAUUCUUCAGUUUUGUUGAUGUAGCUUAUCUUUUGUUCUUGUUUUUCUUUCAGGGUUGUAUCUAAAAGACUGUCACCUCCUCCAGUGUCAAAAUUAUUUAGAUAUACUUUUCCUAAGCAUUUGAUCAUUUCUAACUUUUAUUCUUAAGUCUUCCAUCCAUUUUUUAUGUCAUAGUGUAGGGAUUAUGAAGUGGAUUGUUUGUUUGUUUUGAGGUAAAGAGCUGAGGCUGACGUAGAGUUUAAGGAGAUAAUGGCUGCAGCCAAGGGUACUCCAUCAUGAGGAGGAAGUAGGCGGCAGGUCAAUAUUGUAACCCACAAGAACACUCAAGCAGAAACUGCAGGAGAAAGCUCACAUUAGAACCCAAUCAAGAUCCAGCCAUCAUGAAGGGAGUGAGGAAAGCAACGGAGACAUCAUUAAGUAAUAGGAAACACGUCUUCCCCUGAGCUACCUGGAAGCCUAGGCUGAGAAAGCAGCCUAGAGGAGGAAUUGGGUUUCAGACACAAGCUAUCCUAUGAAAAAGCAGGUGACAAACAGGAUGGAUGCCCCUUCCGUGGACCACAGGAUGGAACAGCAGACCCGGGCUGCCUGGCGACCGACGAGAAUAUCAGAAAUCAGAGUAAAGUGAAAACUACACAGAAUGACCCCGUGUCUUUAGAAACCAUUCAGAGUGAAGCCUACUGAAGCUCAACAAGACAGGGCCUUGCUCUACAGCCCAGUGUCCUAGAAUUUAGGAUCCUCCAAAUGAAGUGACAGUACGAAAGACGUAAGCAUUUGUGAUCAAAGACGUAUAACAGUGUCAAGUAUCAUGACCAAAACUUUCAAAGUAGCACAAAGAAUCUUGGUUUCAUCAACAAGUGAGUACAGACAAAUUGUGUAAGAGUCACAUGACAGAAUAUUAUUCAACAAUAGAAGAGAAUGAACUACCUCUACACAGACAAUAAUAAAGUUUAAAACAUGAGAACA